UACAGAGGUCCCGAGCGUUGUUCGGAUUCAUUGGGCGUAAAGGGUGCGUAGGUGGCGCUGUAAGUCGGGUGUGAAAUUUCGGAGCUUAACUCCGAAACUGCAUUCGAUACUGCGGUGCUUGAGGACUGGAGAGGAGACUGGAAUUCAUGGUGUAGCAGUGAAAUGCGUAGAGAUCAUGAGGAAGACCAGUGGCGAAGGCGGGUCUCUGGACAGUUCCUGACACUGAGACACGAAGGCCAGGGGAGCAAACGGG
rnacentral:rRNA from 1 species